rnacentral:rRNA from 1 species
UCUCUUAAGCGGUUUCUUAAGUCUGAUGUGAAAGCCCCCGGCUCAACCGGGGAGGGGCAUUGGAAACUGGGGAACUUGAUUGCAGAAGAGGAGAGUGGAAUUCCCCGUGUAGCGGUGAAAUGCGUAAAGAUGUGGAGGAACACCAGUGGCGAAGGCGACUCUCUGGUCUGUAACUGACGCUGAGGAGCGAAAGCGUGGGGAGCGAACAGGAUUAAAUACCCUGGUAGUCCACGCCGUAAACGAUGAGUGCUAAGUGUUAGGGGGUUUCCGCCCCUUAGUGCUGCAGCUAACGCAUUAAGCACUCCGCCUGGGGAGUACGGUCGCAAGACUGAAACUCAAAGGAAUUGACGGGGGCCCGCACAAGCGGUGGAGCAUGUGGUUUAAUUCGAAGCAACGCGAAGAACCUUACCAGGUCUUGACAUCCUCUGACAAUCCUAGAGAUAGGACGUCCCCUUCGGGGGCAGAGUGACAGGGGGGGCAUGGUUGUCUUCACCUCCGGUCUUGAGAUGUUGGGUUAAGUCCCGCAACAAGCGCAACCCUUGAUCUUAUUUUCCAGCAUUCAUUUGGGCACUCUAAGGUGACUGCCGGUGACAAACCGGAGGAAGGUGGGGAUGACGUCUAAUCAUUAUGCCCCUUAUGACCUGGGCUACACGCGUGCUACAAUGGACAGAACGACGGAACNAAAACCCGAGGUUCAGCCAAUCCCACAGAUCUGUUCUCAGUCGGAUCGCGUCUGCAACUCGACUGCGUGAAGCUGGAAUCGCUAGUA